AACGAACGCUGGCGGCAGGCCUAACACAUGCAAGUCGAGCGAGGACUUCGGUCCUAGCGGCGGACGGGUGAGUAACGCGUGGGAACGUGCCCCUUGGUACGGAAUAGCCCCGGGAAACUGGGAGUAAUACCGUAUGAGCUCUACGGAGGAAAGAUUUAUCGCCUUUGGAUCGGCCCGCGUUGGAUUAGGUAGUUGGUGGGGUAACGGCCUACCAAGCCGACGAUCCAUAGCUGGUUUGAGAGGAUGAUCAGCAACACUGGGACUGAGACACGGCCCAGACGCCUACGGGAGGCAGCAGUGGGGAAUCUUAGACAAUGGGGGAAACCCUGAUCUAGCCACGCCGCGUGAGCGAUGAAGGCCUUAGGGUUGUAAAGCUCUGUCGAGGGGGAGCAAGCCGUAAGGUUGAGCGAUCCCUGGAGGAAGCACGGGCUAAGUUCGUGCCAGCCGCCGCGGUAAGAC
rnacentral:rRNA from 1 species